rnacentral:rRNA from 2 species
GGUGUAGAAGCAUGGUAACAUGUGAAGCUAACUGGUACUAAUAGCCUGAUUGAUUUAUUUG